GAGGGUAGAGCUCAGUGGCAGAGCGCAUGCUUAGCAUGCAUGAGGUCCUGGGUUCAAUCCCUGGUACCUCA
rnacentral:tRNA from 1 species